rnacentral:rRNA from 1 species
GUGCCAGCAGCCGCGGUAAAACGUAGGUCACAAGCGUUGUCCGGAAUUACUGGGUGUAAAGGGAGCGCAGGCGGGGAAACAAGUUGGAAGUGAAAUCUACGGGCUCAACUCGUAAACUGCUUUCAAAACUGUUUCUCUUGAGUAGUGCAGAGGUAAGCGGAAUUCCCGGUGUAGCGGUGGAAUGCGUAGAUAUCGGGAGGAACACCAGUGGCGAAGGCGGCUUACUGGGCACCAACUGACGCUGAGGCUCGAAAGCAUGGGUAGCAAACAGGAUUAGAUACCCUGGUAGUCCAUGCCGUAAACGAUGAUUACUAGGUGUUGGAGGAUUGACCCCUUCAGUGCCGCAGUUAACACAAUAAGUAAUCCACCUGGGGAGUACGACCGCAAGGUUGAAACUCAAAGGAAUUGACGGGGGCCCGCACAAGCAGUGGAGUAUGUGGUUUAAUUCGACGCAACGCGAAGAACCUUACCAAGUCUUGACAUCGAGUGACGGAGCUAGAAAUAGCUCUUCCCUUCGGGGCACGAAGACAGGUGGUGCAUGGUUGUCGUCAGCUCGUGUCGUGAGAUGUUGGGUUAAGUCCCGCAACGAGCGCAACCCUUAUGCUUAGUUACUACGAAAGAGGACUCUAGGCAGACUGCCGUUGACAAAACGGAGGAAGGUGGGGAUGACGUCAAAUCAUCAUGCCCUUUAUGACUUGGGCUACACACGUACUACAAUGGCGUUUAACAAAGAGAAGCAAGACCGCGAGGUGGAGCAAAACUCAAAAACAACGUCCCAGUCCAGAUUGCAGGCUGCAACUCGCCUGCAUGAAGUCGGAAUUGCGAGUAAUCGCAGAUCAGAAUGCUGCGGUGAAUACGUUCCCGGGCCUUGUACACACCGCCCGU